AAGUAGGUCUUAGUGAUCCGGUGGUUCUGUAUGGAAGGGCCAUCGCUCAACGGAUAAAAGGUACUCCGGGGAUAACAGGCUGAUACCGCCCAAGAGUUCAUAUCGACGGCGGUGUUUGGCACCUCGAUGUCGGCUCAUCACAUCCUGGGGCUGAAGCCGGUCCCAAGGGUAUGGCUGUUCGCCAUUUAAAGUGGUACGCGAGCUGGGUUUAGAACGUCGUGAGACAGUUCGGUCCCUAUCUGCCGUGGACGUUUGAGAUUUGAGAGGGGCUGCUCCUAGUACGAGAGGACCGGAGUGGACGAACCUCUGGUGUUCCGGUUGUCACGCCAGUGGCAUUGCCGGGUAGCUAUGUUCGGAAAAGAUAACCGCUGAAAGCAUCUAAGCGGGAAACUUGCCUCAAGAUGAGAUCUCACUGGGAACUUGAUUCCCCUGAAGGGC
rnacentral:rRNA from 1 species